GGCCUGGGACUGGAUACUAUCAUCAGGGAGCUUAGUACAGAAUCUCAGGUGAACCCCAGCCCCACUAAAUUAGAGCCUGCCCCAGUUUAUCUGUGAUGGACUGCCCACUCUUUGCAGCCAGCUGUGGAAAUAGCUCCAUUGUCAACUGUGGCCACUCUCAUUCCAUUCCUGUGACUUCACUGAAGACCACAUCCAACAGCAAGAAAAACAAACAGCCCUGAUCACUUCCUUGAAAACAUGUUCAGGGCGGAGUCUGAAAUUUUCACUGGGUGAUGCUACUACCACUCAACUCCUAGAGUCACAGUUGAGCCACAAGACUUGCAUCUCCCACU